rnacentral:rRNA from 1 species
UACGAAGGGGGCUAGCGUUGCUCGGAAUCACUGGGCGUAAAGCGCACGUAGGCGGAUCUUUAAGUCAGGGGUGAAAUCCCAGGGCUCAACCUUGGAACUGCCUUUGAUACUGGGGAUCUCGAGUCCGGAAGAGGUUGGUGGAACUGCGAGUGUAGAGGUGAAAUUCGUAGAUAUUCGCAAGAACACCAGUGGCGAAGGCGGCCAACUGGUCCGGUACUGACGCUGAGGUGCGAAAGCGUGGGGAGCAAACAGG